GGGGACGUUACGGAUUCGACAGGGAUGGUUUGAGCUUGAGUUGCGAGCCGGGGGGAUCGUCCUCGUUACUAACGUCGAGUUAAUUAUAACUGGCAAACAAAACAAUUUCGCUUUAGCAGCAUAAUGCUAGAGGCCCUUUCCUUCCAUCGCCCAUGUGGAAGUGUAGAGGGUUCACUAUGAAGUGGGCUACGCUUAAGGCCACCGUCUGAGGUCUUAAGAAGAGACUAAUCAGACUAGCUCCUCGGACGCCUGUCGGUAGGCAUAAGAGAGAGCGAAUUGCGAAUAUGCCGACUACGCUCGUAGAUGCUUAAGUAUCAAUAUCUUUGGACGUGGGUUCGACUCCCACCGUCUCCACCA
rfam:Bacillus endophyticus strain Hbe603, complete genome.